GCAAACAAACAAUUGGAAAAUUGACCUAGUGUAUUUUUUUUAUACCGACGAAAAAUCUGACAUAUAUUCGCUAUAUGUCAACUAAGUUGCGCUUCAUUGAGUAGAGUUAUUAUUUCAACAAUUAUUGAAACUUUUCGAAAACCAAAAUCGGGUGCUGACCCUUAAUUUUAAACCUAUUUCUUCAGAGUUGGUACAGUAUUGAUUAAGUUAUGAAUCACUAUUAUUUUAUAUUACUUUGCUUAAAAAGGUAGGCCGACUGAGAUCAUCAGAAACCAUAUAGUAUGUAGCUUUUUAUUUUAAUUUAGUUAACAUUAUUUUAACUUACUGUAUGACCAUAGGUGUUCUCUAUAAGGUUGGACAGAGGAAUAUGUGUCUUGUUCUUUCAUGCCAAAGAAGCUUGCUACAUAAGAAUCUGAUUUUAGAAGAAAUUUGGGGACAAAAGAAGCUUUACUUGUCUUUAUCUAUUUUUUCUCUUCAACAUAGAAAUCAGAAAUAAUGUGAAGCUUCUGCUUCAUUCAAUCUCCCUCUUUAUCUCUGGUUAUCUUCUUCCUCAGGUAUGUACAUUACUUAUAAAAUAAACUAACUAUUUUAGUUUGUGUAUGCAAUUAACUAGACACAGCUGCACAAUCUUGAAGAAGUCAUUUUUCAUUCCAGACUUGGGUUUUCAUAUAAUUCAUAGUAGCAAAAAAAGAGAAGUGCAUAUUAGUGGUUUCAGAUUUAUGCAUAAAUUUCAGUUUGAUGUUGAUGUAUAUAUAGUAUGAUGGCCAUUUCUGCUGCUUUUAAUGGGUAAAAGAAACAUGUAUUUCAUUGUUUAUUAACAGAAGAGGAAAGGAAGGGUAUGAACGAGUUGAACAGUGGAAGAGCAAAGCAAAUGCCAUGGAACAAUGUGUACAGUAGUAGUGAGUCUCUUGACAAGGAAUUCCAUGGAAAAGCUUGGGAUCAUCCAUGAAUGCCAUUUCUUUCGGGUUCGUGGCAACGGCCAUCUUGAUUUCGAUGUUUCUCAUUAUGGCUAUUUUCGAGCAUCUAUUCAGACCGUCUUCCCACCAAGACUCUUCUACGCAGACGGAAUCAACACAAAUGCACAAGCUUGAGCCCCCUCAUCACCCAGUACAGACAUCAUAUGCAUCAGAUUUCUCAGUGGUGAUGCCAGGACAGCAGUAUCCUAGCUUUAUUGCUCAACCUGCUCCUCUGCCAAGGGAAGGAGAGUGAUUUGGCUCUCCCACUCUCUCUCUCAUCCAACCAACCAAUAAAGCUUACUUCAGUUUGGCAUCUUUUGUACACACCACUUGAUUUAAUGGCUUACAAAUUUUGAUUGCACCA